GUCUAUGGCCACACCAACCUGAACAAGCCCUAUCCUGUCUAAUCUUGAAAGCUAAGCAGGGUCGGGCCUAGUUAAUACUUGGAUGAGAGACCACCUAGGAAGACCAGAUGCUGUAGGCA
rnacentral:rRNA from 1 species